rfam:Haemophilus parasuis SH0165, complete genome.
CUUGGCAACAAUAGUGCUGUGGUCCCACCUGACUCCAUACCGAACUCAGAAGUGAAACGCAGUUACGCCGAUGGUAGUGUGGGGAUUCCCCAUGUGAGAGUAGGGCAUUGCCAAGU